UUUCUUCUGUUUUUUUUUGUUUUUUUUUUGCUUGCUUUUAAUUAUUUAAAGCGGGUAAGAGUCCCGUAUUGAAAAAAAA
rnacentral:ribozyme from 1 species